rnacentral:rRNA from 1 species
AGUGAACGCUGGCGGUAGGCCUAACACAUGCAAGUCGAACGGCAGCACAGUAAGAGCUUGCUCUUACGGGUGGCGAGUGGCGGACGGGUGAGGAAUACAUCGGAAUCUACUUUUUCGUGGGGGAUAACGUAGGGAAACUUACGCUAAUACCGCAUACGACCUACGGGUGAAAGCAGGGGAUCUUCGGACCUUGCGCGAUUGAAUGCGCCGAUGUCGGAUUAGCUAGUUGGCGGGGUAAAGGCCCACCCAGGCGACGAUCCGUAGCUGGUCUGAGAGGAUGAUCAGCCACACUGGAACUGAGACACGGUCCAGACUCCUACGGGAGGCAGCAGUGGGGAAUAUUGGACAAUGGGCGCAAGCCUGAUCCAGCCAUACCGCGUGGGUGAAGAAGGCCUUCGGGUUGUAAAGCCCUUUUGUUGGGAAAGAAAAGCAGCAGGUUAAUACCCCGCUGUUCUGACGGUACCCAAAGAAUAAGCACCGGCUAACUUCGUG